CCACGCCGGGCCUCUGAUCACAUGGCUCAAGUGAUGUCGGACCCUUUGUGUGGAUUACGUUUUGUGUGCACGUGUGAUAAAAAGAUGUAAAAAUGACAUCUGAAGGGAUUUGUUGAUUGAUGUUCUUUGGUAAAAUGGUGACGGUGUGGCAGGGGCAACCACCAUCAGAUAGAACCACCAUCACAUAGAACCACCAUCAGAUAGUACCACCAUCACAUAGAGCCACCAUCACAUAGAACCACCGUCACAUAGAACCACCAUCACAUAGAACCACCAUCAGAUAGUACCACCAUCAGAUAGUACCACCAUCACAUUGAACCACCAUCACAUAGAACCACCAUCACAUAGAACCACCAUCAGAUAGUACCACCAUCACAUAGAACCACCGUCAGAUAGAACCACCAUCAGAUUGUACCACCAUCACAUAGAACCACCGUCAGAUAGAACCACCAUCAGAUUGUACCACCAUCACAUAGAACCACCAUCACAUAGAACCACCGUCAGAUAGAACCACCAUCAGAUUGUACCACCAUCACAUAGAACCACCAUCACAUAGAACCACCGUCAGAUAGAACCACCGUCAGAUAGAACCACCAUCACAUAGAACCACCAUCAGAUAGCACCACCAUCACAUAGAACCACCGUCAGAUAGAACCACCGUCAGAUAGAACCACCAUCAGAUAGAACCACCAACAGAUAGAACCACCGUCAGAUAGAACCACCAUCAGAUAGAACCACAAUCACAUAGAACCACCGUCAGAUAGAACCACCAUCAGAUAGAACCACCGUCAGAUAGAACCACCAUCCACAGAAGCCUGUGGGGAGGGAGAGCACAGAGACUUUAGGAGAGGGUAAUGUUGGUUUACGAGUACAGAAAUAUGAUUAAUAUCUAAAAUAAUGAUGAUGAUGAUGAUGAUGAUGGCAGCAGCAGGGCCACGGUAGGUGUCAGGACCAGGGUCCAGAAGGAACCACGAUCUACGGAGACCUGCUAGGGGAGAAAGCACAAAACAACUCCCGGAAAGAAGCUGAAUUAGUCAUGUGCAUUAAUAAAACGUGGAUUAUGGUAGAACGAGAGCGUGAGAGAGGAGCUCGGUGUGUCCUAAAAAGUCUAAGCCUAUAGCAGCUUAACUAAGGGCUGGUCCGGACUAACCUGAGCCAGCCCUAACUAUAGGCAGAAUCAAAGAGGAAAGUUUUACUUUAAAAGAGCUGACCGAAUCUGCCCCCCGGACUGAAAGUGGAACCUGGUUCCACAAAAGAGGAGCUUGAUAACUGAAGGCUCUGGCCUUGAAUAGAUGAAUAGAGUUGCAGGUCAGCUUUGAGCAGGAACCGCCCUCAUGGCGGCGCUACAGUUAACUGCAGAGAUCACUGACAAGGAAGCAGUUUGUCAAAUAAAGUGACUUUCGGUCGGUUUGAUGAACUGCUGAUCAUCUUCAGGAGGUUUUGAGUCGGAGGGUUCCUGGUGGGAACCCUCAAACUCCCUGUCGAGGCCGCCAAAGUCUGAAUACAGACUUAAUUUGAGAGUCACGAUUCAGGCUUCUAACCGUCUCAAAUUUUAACUGACUUCAGAUGUUUUUUUUCCAAGGUUGCAUGGAUUAAAAGUAUUUCACGGGGGAUUUUAACCUCACUUUAUGGUCCGUAUCCACCUUGAGAUCAAAGCAUUUUAAAGGUACAAACGUCACAUUUAUAUGUGAUAUCAUAUUUUUAUAGAUUUUAGUGAGAGGAGGAAAAUGAAUGUCGGCGUUGGGAACUGCUGGGAUUAGUGUGUGUGUGUGUGUGUGUGUGUGUGUUUGUGUGUAUAUCCUUUCUCUGGCAACACAAAGCAGAACUUGAGAUGAAAACAUGAACAUCUUUGGAACAGUAACAACAAAAACCCUCCAGCCAUGCGUCCAGUUGCCGCCGCGGCGUUUCCAGGUUUACAGAGGAGCGGAAAUCAAGUUGCUUAGUCGCGUUGUAAACCCCAGAUUAACAUGGUGUUAUUCGGCAUGAAUCGGCUUACACGAGCUGAGGCCGCAGAGCUGAGAGUGACUUAGUGCGGCUUAAACCAGCCCGUUCGCUGUCUGGGACGGGAUAGAGGGUCUCCGGUGGGAGGAGGGAGAACAGCAGAACAUGGUUUAAGCCGGCCAUUUCAGGAAGCCGCGGGAUCAGAGAAAUUAAGAGUCUCAGUUCCUUCCUUCACGCAAUCUGAAGAACACGUCGCAUCUCCCCCGCGAAGGCGUCCACAUCCAACGUGAAAACCAGUGAAGAUACAUUUCAGUAUAUGAAACAGGGAAAUUGAGAAGACUCUUUUGUGUUUCUUGUUUGGAUGGAACACGAGCACGUAUCGUAAUAAUCAUGUGAGGAAAGUCAAAGAUCCUUUGUUGGAUCUUUGGUUCUGAAAGGUUUUCACUCAGACUCAGGGCAUCAUGAACCGUCCUCCGCCUGACACACGUCUCUAAACCGUCCUCUGCCUGACACACGGUUCUAAACUGUCCUCUGCCUGACACACGGUUCUAAACCGUCCUCUGCCUGACACACGGUUCUAAACCGUCCUCUGCCUGACACACGGUUCUAAACCGUCCUCCGCCUGACACACGGUUCUAAACCGUCCUCUGCCUGACACACGGUUCUAAACCGUCCUCUGUCUGACACACGUCUCUAAACUGUCCUCUGCUUGACACACGGUUCUAAACCGUCCUCUGCUUGACACACGGUUCUAAACUGUCCUCUGCCUGACACACGGUUCUAAACCGUCCUCUGCCUGACACACGGUUCUAAACCGUCCUCUGCCUGACACACGGUUCUAAACCGUCCUCUGCCUGACACACGUCUCUGAAGUGUCCUCCGCCUGACACACUGUUCUAAACUGUCCUCUGCUUGACAUUUUGUACUUCCUUCACGUUUUGAUUUCAUUUUUCUUCGGCUGCCACAGUUUGGCCAGGAUAGAAGAAAAAAACAUUCAGUGCUGAAGCACUUAAUGAAUUCCACUUUUUUCAUAGAGAACAUUGAAAUAUUUACGGGCAGACUGUCAUUCCAGAACAGUAAUACAUUAUCUCUCACAAAAGUCAUUAUUUAUGUUAUUUCUAUGAGGGGACUUUAAAGUCAUGACCGCUGCGAAGCCGUCUGCUGUGUUUCAGAAAAUGUUCUUUCCUUGUGGCUCCUCUGAGAGUUGCAGCGCCGUCGGCUGGGAAAAAAGUCUGUUUAUCAUUCCGGCUGAAUCUGUUAUUUCUGUUAAUGUGUUCCUGCAGCCGGGCCCGACCAUCACUCAUUCAUUCCCCUGAUAAGGAGGAGUGGUGUUUCUGCUGCGUCACAUGGACAGCUCCAGUGGCGUAUCGCAGUGUUCUGUCACGCCAUGGCGCUGAUGUCAUAUAUUUCUUUUGCAUCGGGCCGGUUUGAUUUGGGUCCCCAACCUUUUUAACGGAGAGUCAAACAUCGUGGAAACGUCAGCUGGAUAAGAGAUGUGGAGCUGUGUGUCAAACAGACUCAGAGUGACCUCGUGACCUGCGGCUUGAACAAUGAGGGUUCGAUGGGAUGGAGGAGCUCUGAACAUCAUCACCACUGUAAAAGCACGUUUAGCUGUUUAUUAUUAAAGCAUGCCGAGCUGUUUGCCAUUUGCCCGAAGGUCGGAGCUCACAGCAACAAUGAGGUUUGCAAACAAAUUGUAGAAGAAAAAAAUAAGCAUUUCGAUGACAACGUUCCUUCCUGUAGCUGCAAAUAAAAAUGAUAUUGAAAGCAGCACGAUAACCCUCAAUUUAAAAAUGCCCCCCUCAAUCUAAAAUGAUCCACAUGCUUCUGAAACUAAUAGCACCUACUGCCUCAGGUUUAACUUAGUGAUUGGUUGCACUGAACCAACAGAUUCUGCAGAAAAUAACACAUCUGAUGUAUAAGAAUCCCAUUAACAUCAUUAACAUAGUGCAUGCAUAUGUAGCAUGAAUCAGUAUAUAAAUAACUAGCUGGUCUACUCAUACAUUAGCUGUAAUCCUUUACAAUCCAACAUUGUACUCAUUUCCGCUUCCUUUUUUCCUUCAUAUAUAUA
ensembl:lncRNA